AAAAUUAGAGUGUUCAAAGCAGGCAGAUCCAAUUUUCUGCCACCGAAUACAUUAGCAUGGGAUAAUGGAAUAGGACCCUGUCCUCCUAUUUUCAGUUGGUUUGCCGCGAGGACCAGGGUAAUGAUUAAUAGGGAUAGUUGGGGGCAUUAAUAUUUAAUUGUCAGAGGUGAAAUUCUUGGAUUUAUGAAAGAUUAACUUCUGCGAAAGCAUCUGCCAAGGAUGUUUUCAUUAAUCAAGAACGAAAGUUAGGGGAUCGAAGACGAUCAGAUACCGUCGUAGUCUUAACCAUAAACGAUGCCGACCAGCGAUUAGGAGACGUUGAAUACAAAACACCACCAUGCGCAUUGCGGUCGUCUUUGGUGUCGCUCACAAGGCGGCACCGGGGCGGCUUAGCUCGCAUGGCACCGGUGAA
rnacentral:rRNA from 1 species